rnacentral:rRNA from 1 species
ACUUAGCGGAUAAGGCGCGAAUCCCGUAAAACCUGUCUCAGUCCGGAUUGGAGUCUGCAACUCGACUCCAUGAAGUUGGAAUCGCUAGUAAUCGCAGAUCAGCACGCUGCGGUGAAUACGUUCCCGGGCCUU